rnacentral:rRNA from 1 species
UACAGAGGGUGCAAGCGUUAAUCGGAGUUACUGGGCGUAAAGCGCGCGUAGGUGGUUUGUUAAGUUGGAUGUGAAAUCCCCGGGCUCAACCUGGGAACUGCAUCCAAAACUGGCAAGCUAGAGUAUGGUAGAGGGUGGUGGAAUUUCCUGUGUAGCGGUGAAAUGCGUAGAUAUAGGAAGGAACACCAGUGGCGAAGGCGACCACCUGGACUGAUACUGACACUGAGGUGCGAAAGCGUGGGGAGCAAACAGG